CUCACACCCUCACCCUCAUUCUUUUCUUUUCUUCUUUACACAGACGCUUGGAUCCAAUUGCCUCAUCCUUGCCGCCGAUCCAAAUUAAAAAAAAAAAAAUCCUGAUCUGAUCUGAUCUGUUCUGCUCUGUUUCUCUGUUACUUGAUUCUCUGUUACUAUAAACUGAUUCUUUUAUUACUCAUACAAAUCGAUCAUCAACGAUCGUGAAACCGGUAGAUCGAAGGAAUGAACUGCCAGAACCUUGACGGCCGCAACAUCACAGUCAACGAGGCUUAGUCUCGUGAUAACGGAGGCGGCGGUGGUGGCGGAGGCUACAGCCGUGGUGGAGGUGGUUACGGAGGCGGCGGACAUCGCGAAGGUGGAGGAUUCGCUUCGGGAUCUGAGGAAAACGUCGUCGUCGUCAUCGGCGGUGGCCCUGGUGGUUACGUGGCCGCCAUCAAAGCCGCUCAGUUGGGUCUGAAGACCACUCCAGCUUUUACUUUCAUACUUGCCAUCAUCUCCAGGAUCAAAAAUCAUCAAAAAAUAUCUGUCCUUUGAUUGCGAAAACCGGAGAUGUCACUUUGUGUCCUUACAAUGAUAAGUGCAGAUUUAGCCACGACGUUGAAGGGUUUAAAGCUCAGAAACCGGAGGAUAUAGAAGGGGAGUGCCCGUUUUUGGAUUCAAAGGAGCCGUGUCCUUAUGGCUUAGCUUGUAGGUUUUUGGGCACGCAUAAAAGUAAAGAUAAAGAUGGUGUUUUGGGUGGUAAGAAGAAGAUGAGUGAUGAGUGUAAUGGGUUGAAUAAGGAUGUUCAGAAGCUUUUGUGGAAAAAUAAAAUGAAAUUUCCUAAGGCUGAUGCCAAGCUCAAAGCUCUUGGUCUCCUGGAUCUAAGGAUGGGGUAGGAGCUCGGGACCAAUCCUAGAGUUGGGCGUAUGUUUCCCAUGAACAAGCUUCAUCUUCCACCAGUUGCUCCUAUUUCUGUUAUUGUUGCAGCUGCUGCGAUUUCUUUUUUACCUUCUCUCGUACUUUGGCAUUCUCAUCUUGGUCAUGCACCCUCUUCUCGGGUACAAUAGUUAGUUUCCAGAGGUCUAUUAGGUUCUGUGUUUAAAGACAAUUU